rnacentral:misc_RNA from 1 species
AAAGUCGUAACAAGGUUUCCGUAGGUGAACCUGCGGAAGGAUCAUUAGCACGUUCGAGGAAGCCCCGACCGGACCCUUCGGGGUAUGGCCGACGGCGUCUCGAGGCAAGGAAGUCGAAGCGGUCGAGGCCUCUCGCCGCUUCGCCAGUCCACAAACCCUCUCGGUGUACCUUACCCUUGUUGCUUUCCCGGGCCCCAAAACGUCCGGGAGAGGACCGAAAACCAAUCCUGUGUAACCAGUAGUCUGACCGGAUGGCUCGCGAGCCGUCCGAUAGAAAAUCCAAAACUGUUAAAACUUUCAACAACGGAUCUCUUGGUUCUC